GCAAAGUAAGGUAAAGAGCAACCGCUGAAGGUGAAGACGGGAUUUUGGCUAAAAGCUCCCUGAGAGAAACGUCAGACCUUAUUAAAAAUACAGAGUGAAACAGUAUUUGGAAACAGUGACACCAGUGUUUGCCUUAUAUUGUUGUUUACAGUAAGUUAUUGACAGUGAAAACGUCAUAUAGAGUUGAUCGUAAAGCAAUUUUAUAUCCUUCACUUCCUCAGCCUGUAGAUGGAAAUAGAUGUAGAGGCGGCAGCUCUGUUGAAGGCCAGUCAGGUAAAAAUAUUUGUUAAAACAAACAAAAAAUAUUUAAAUGGAUUUGUAUUUGGGAAUCUGAGUUUAAUAAAAAAAUAAUGUAUUACUAAACACAGGAAGAGAGGGAGUGAUAUAAGCUAAAGAAGACUGACAGGGCUGAAGGAGCAGAUCUGGUGGAGGUUAGUGAUCAAGAAGAAAGCGAGGGAGAAUAGCUUUAGAUUUCAUUUAAAAUAAUAUUGAAUUUACUUAAACGUAACUGUGAAAAUAUGUUUGUCGCUUUGACCGUGAAAUUCUGUCACCUACCUUAUUAAUCAUGCCUACAGAGCAAAAUCACACUCUUUCUGAUUGCACCAACUGAGACUGAACUGUUCUAUAAUCUGUGUAUUUGAAUAAUAUAUGUAGGACCAUGAAGCUUAUCUAAGAGAGACGAGAUUUCACUGAUUUUUUCAGUACCUUUGAUUGAUCUGUGUCUGUUGUAAGUGGAUGUAUUUAGUGUCAUACUAGUCAUACCAGCUCUGUGCUUAAUACAAACUGCAGAGACAGAUGUACUGUGUGCCAGAUUUGACCAGUUAGCCAUUUUUGAUCAAUUUUCUGGCCAUAUUCAUUUAUGACUGUAAGGACUGGAUCAGAACCUGCUGAUGUACUAUGAGCAGGCAGGCCACAUGCAUGCAGGACUCAUGUUGAUGCAUGCACAUAUGCCUUUUUUUGGAAGAUGCUUGGCUGGUGUGCAGAAAAUCAGUGCAGAGAUGACUGGUGUUGUACCUGUAGACUGACCCCAUGGUGCAACAGUUUCUAUAGCGUCAUUCCUCAUCCACACUUAAACAUUUAUGACAAGUGUGUGGGUUGAGUAUCUCUUGAUGCACAUUAUGUUGAUUCCCUUUGGCAGGAAGGUGUUCAUGACGUUGCAUGCCUGUCAUGUUGGAGGGCAGUCUGACACCAGCAGAAGUGGCCCAGUUUGGAUAUCAUUCAGCUCGAUUUACAGCUGGAAUUUGAGACAGUGGCUUGCUGGUUUUGUGGCUAAUACGGGUAGAUAUCAUGGCUUUGGUUUUUCAUCAAGGGAGCACAAGGUUGAUGGGCUUGUUCUGACUCACAUACUCUUAAUCACCCUCUUGGUAACCAUAUGACAUACUCGUUAUUAAGAUAGCAGCUCCCUCCAGUAGUGUGGUGACUGCAUCUGGAACUGGUCCAGAUGAUUUAGGACAAAUACGCCAUUGCUUCCAUGGAACUCUUUAUCAGCACAGACUCUAAUCAUUGAGUGGCUCUUCCUGUUGGAACUGCUUAACUCCUAAGCUUUUUAAUGCCUUCCCUUCCUUUCCACUCAUUCUGGAAACACUCAUUGAGGAUCUAGGAUUGCAGUGGCUCUUUAUUUGCAGUCUUUUGAUAAACUUCCAGACCAUGGGUCCUAUGUCUAAGGGCUCACCACGCCAGGUUUCACUCAUGAGCAGGCAGUUAGACAACUGUAUAUGCAGGAAUACUGUUCCAGGACACGUGUGUUGUAGUGUGCGAAUGAUUCACGUGAGAGCUAAUGUAGUGCUCAGUUCCUGUGGUGAUAGAAGUCAUAGAGGACCUACCAACACCAUUCUCCUCACCAUUUGACUGGCAUUUCAGGUUAGGAUAAGUGCAUGGGUGGAUUAUCUGUAGGUGUACAUUAAUUUGAUUGAGUCCUUAAGGAUGUAUAGCAUCUUCACCCAUUGCAUUUAUUCAGAAUAGCUUGAGCUUUCUUCCUUUAUUAACAUUAAUACUGAAUUUUAUUACACAUAACUGUGAAAAUAUAUUUGUCGCCAUGACCAUAAAAUUCUAUCACCUACCUCAUUAAUCAUGCCUACAGAGCAAAAAUCACAAAAAAAUCACACUCUUUCUGAUUGCACUAACUGAGAACUCAUCUAUAAUCUGUGUAUUUCAAUAAUAUAUGUGGGACCUUGCAGCUUAUCUAAGAGAGAGGAGACAGUAUUGCUUGACAUCAGUAUCUUUGAUUGAUUUAUGUGGUAAGUGGAUGGAUUUAGUGUCAUAGUAGUCAUACUAGCUCUGUGCUUAAUACAAACUGCAGUGACAGAUCUAUUGUGUGCCGAUUUGACAGACUGGCCAUUUUUGAUACAUUUUUUGGCUGCUGCUAUUGUAAAAGUUCAUGAUGAACAGACAUUUGAGGCCAUUAAAAAUCUCCCUAGGUUUUACUCAUGAGGAACCUCAGGUCACUUUGCAUUUAUUGAGGCAGUACAUCCUGGUUGUGCCUUAGGUACACUUUCAUAAUAUCUCUUUGACUUAAGAUUUAUUCCUUCUAGCAUUAUUGUGAAGUGUGAGGUAUUAUUUUGAAAGAAUAAAGAGGCUCAUCCAUUGAAAAGUGUGGAUGACAGUUGUUGGAGACUUGGAAGCAGUGAGAUUACUAGAGGAUGACUUCUGUGUGAGCAGACUAUCUGUAUACUGUCUCACUGCUUAACUUGAUAUUAGACCUUGACCUGUCCGCAGGUGUACAAGGAGCAUCCAUCCAAAUUAUCCAAGUUCUCUCCAAAUGUGUUCUGCAUAGGCACUGCACUGCUAUCUCUGUAAUCAGAGACUGCACCUUAAACAAGGUGCUCAAUACUGCCAACUUUUUUAGUUAAAGUCCAAUUGGAAAUGAUUAUAACAAUGGAGGUCAUUUUACAACAAGGCUUGCAAACAGCAAUAAUAAGAACUGAAAUAUGUUUGUUUACCAUUUUAAACAAAGAGGCAAUCAUAGGAUGACUGUGGUGGUACUUUAGCAGUUCUUUAAGUUCCUGGGGCUUUAGAGAAAUGUAUUGUAAAAUUUGUAAUUUACUUUUGAUUUAAUCAUAAAUGAGGUUCAACAUUUUUACACUUUGCAAAUUAAAGUUUUUUAGUGUUUUUCAGCUUUUUAAAUGGUUUUCUAAACCACACCAAGUCUGAACCUCACUGUGUCACCUGCAACCAAGUCAAGAAAAGGGAGAGCAAAAUAUAGAUAAUAAAAGACAGAAAUGGUUAAUAGUUGUAUUUGUUUUAUUACAGCUAAACCGCUCUCUACAUAAACAAGUAACAUUCAUUAGGUAAACAAUGUAUUCCAAAGCAAAUAAUAAAUAAUUUAUUUGAUAUUUUGUACAAACCAAUAGUGGCUUGAUAUACAUAAUGAUUUCUCUCAAUGUACCAUAAAAUAAUACAAGAAUUUAAGGCAGAGAGAACUCAUGCUUGCCAGUCGUACUGGUACAGCUAAAAUGGGCUGACCCCCUUGUCUAGUGGUAUGAUUUUGCUUCUAAUUUGAAAAUGGUGUGAGGUGUGUUAACUGAGGGGCCAUUUAACAUGUAUACUGUAAAAGAAAGAGCUCGCAGUAUGUGACUGUGUGCUUGGCAAUCCUUGUGGGGGGUAAAAAUAAAUAAACCCUAGGGCUGCAAGCUGAAGCGAACUCAUCGUCAUGGCUUAAAUUCAGUGUAAUCUCAUCUUGGAGGUGGUUGAGAUCAGUUCAUGGUCCCUCAGUGCAUGUGUGUGAUGAUUUUAGUCAGGCUCCGCACGUAUAUAUGCUCUGUAUAUGCCUUAAAACGGCCAGUGUCUGGACCACAGUGACAGUGAGUAAUGGAUCUGCAGCCUGUCUAACUAUAUGAAGGGUCUUUUACCAGGUAUACGUCACAAUGGAGCCAGAGUAUAUCCACACUCAGCUGGCAUUCACUGUUAAAGUGUUUAAUUGCAACAAAAAGGUCAAAUCUGACACAGCAUGAUAGAUUCAGGAGAUGGAAUUAAUGCCUCAACCAUCUGGUACAGCACAGACAAAGAUCAAUAUGAGAGAACGAGAGACACAAGGACAAAUAAAAAGAUACUUGUUACAAUGCAAAGCAAGUGACAAGAGCUCUUUAAAUAAUUAAUAAGGAAAUAAAUGUUCAAUGACAGAUGACAGUAAAGCAUAAUUGUCAAACAAAUAGUAAAAAUAUAUAGAUUAAAAUAAAUAAAUUCAAUUUUAUACAAAGGGGUGGGGGGGGGGCAGCAACGAUGACGUAGCUGUGAGCUCACCUACAAAAACAUUUAAUAGAAUUUAAAAGGAUAGUUAAACAUUUUGGCAGUCAAGGCUUUCCUUCUACAUGCACAAAUUCACAUGGCUGUACUGUUUCUAUUAUGCUGUACGAGGAUGUAGGAAUCUACAGGAACAGCUACACAACUCCCUUAUAACAGCUUCAGAAGCGAGCCUCACAGGUGAAAAUUCCUAUAGGCAGUGGCAGGCCUGUCACAAUUAUUACAUAACUGUAAGCUUUCACUGUCACAUUUAAAAUGUUUAAAGUGUAACAAACAAUGCAAAUUGCAUUUUCAUCCACGUGGCUGUGGCAAUAAAAUAAAACAAAAAAAUGCAGAAGAAUUUUUAUUCAGACAGAAGUUGUAACUUCUGACUUAUCACUUCAGAGGGCAGCAGUGAGUAAUGUUUGUUUGUGAGCUUGAGCUAUGAAGUAUCAACAACUAUCUGCCAAUUUAGCCAUUUUACGCUUGUACUUUAAUAGUUGCAAUACAAUUAACAAGACAAUUCAAUUAUUUUUCAAUUAUUUAUACUGCAAUGAAUCAUCAGCUAAAAUGUAAUGAUCGUGACAAGCCUAGGCAGUUGAUUAAUGAGCGAUUUGGUGGUAAACAGGUCCAAAUAUCAAUAUUUCUCAAACAAUUUACAUAUAUUUGUUGAAUAUGUAAAUGUUGUAUUAGAACAGGGAUCUCCUGUUUCAGUAUUAGCUAAGAUUCUGUAGAUAUCCUAUCAUCAUGUUAAACAGUUACAGUCCAUUCGCACUGUAUGUAGAAUGAAAAGGAGGAGGGAAAAUAACAGUACUACUCUUCAUCAGUAAGAAAAAAAUACAUUGUCAAAACGUUAAACUAUCCCUUUAAAGAAACUCAGAGAGAUGAUCAUCACAGCCCCAAGGGCUAUGAGAAUACGGCAACUGUUAUCCCAAACCAUUGGAAGAGACAUCAGGUACGUAUGCUGAAUACAAUGCUAGUUUUAACCACUUCCAGGCAGUCAAGACAAAGUUCAUAUUUCUUUGUUUAUGCACUUGUUUACAUUUCUGACCAUGGGGGUGUGCUUCAAGUUGAAUACGCCCUGUUCAGACAGACAGACAAAAAUGUAUGAUCACUGCAACCGAGCGUAGUUCAGGAUAAUGUGGUCGUUAGGACAAUUUAAUGGAAGUGGUUCUGAUGUUCUGCAGAAGUGAAGGCUAAUAAUCAGCACAGGCAGCAUGUUUAAUAUGAGAAAGCUGGAGCCAAAAGCAAUUCCUCCUUCAACAUAAAACUCAGUGCUUGGCUCCUGAAAUAAAGCCAAUGUGCCCUUAAAGAGGGCUCUAAAUACAAUCUAAUUUCAGUGUCCCUUAAAGUCUGAAGGUGGAUAGAAUGGAACACCUCCAUCAGUCUUCUGUUAUAACACAAAAUUCCUCAGGUGAUUUACUUCAUAAACACAUCAUACCCCAGUACCCGACACUUUCAAUUUUGUCUCUGAUUUUUUUGCCCAAUUGAUGAGUGACUCAAAACAGAUCAAAAUUAGAUUAUUUCAAAAUGAGAUUUCUGCAUGAUUUGCUCAAAACUCAAUUUCUUUUGAAAAGAUUAGAAAGGAGAGCUAGGUGGAGGUAAAUGCAAAGCUGGAAUUAGAGGUGACUGUCGCUUCCGUUCCGAGCGUGCCUCAUGGCUAGAUCCUGUAAUGGCAUAAGGAAAUGCUUUUUAUACAGCAUACAAACUACGUAAGUUAAAAGCCUCAUAAAUUACCUGCACAAGAAAGUUUAAUUAAAUAACAUACUGACCCCUCAAAAGAUCAAAACAAUGUCUGAGGCCAGAGUCUUACGAUAAGACGAGGAAAAAAAAAACUGACCAAGAUGAAUCUGAUUCCAUGAUUAGGACUGCAAGUGUUUGUGGUGAAACAAAAUACCAAAAAAGAGUAUAAAAGGUACAGAAUAAGAUAGUCAAGGGACGACACACAGAGCAGUGAAAAAACAUCUUCAGUAUCCACACAAAAAAUCUCAACUGAAGUCACUCGCUGGGCAGGCAGCGUCCUGUUGGUUAUAUACAAAAGUAAAACUGAAAAUAGAUAUUUCUUCUCUGUACAGCAUUUUUUCUUCUUCUUCUCUUCUUUGUACAAAAGUCUUUGUUCUCUCCUUUUUCCCCCCUCUGCUCUCUCUGCCCCAUUCAUAUCUAAAUCCUCUUUGAGUGCACCAAAUUUCUCUCGUCUCCCAUGGAUGGUGGUAAGGGCUAGUCUUUGGGUGUGGCGCCCUCGUGUGGUCAGUCCAGUGAGAUGACGUCAGGGAUGGAGCCAUAUAUGACGGAGGCGGCGGCGUCUGAGCGUGAGCGGGACAUGCUGCUGUGGGGGUGUGUGUCCCGCAGGCUGCUGGAGGACACCAGACUGCUGCUGCUACCACUGCUGCUUCCCCCGCUGCCGUUCACCGGCGCCAGUGAACCGCUCACAGGUGUGCCCGCCUGCUCCAGGUACAGCUGCGAUGAGUUGUAGGGCAUGAAGCGGUUCAGAAGGAGCUCGUGGUCUUCUGAAGCUGACGCCGAGGCCGAUGCUGCAGCUGCAGCUGCCAUCACCAUGUUGUAAUGCUGGAGAUGAAGGAACAGAAAGAGGGGAAAUGAGCUGCGGUGCAGCACUAAUCACUGGUGGGAACGAUCUGACAGCAUAUAGCAGUAUAUAAAAGGAACAGCAGAAACUGAGUACGAUACAGAACCCUCACACGCACUACACUUAAUUCUUAGUUUUUCAUGCGAAAGCAAGACAUACACCUCAGUUUCCAUCGAUUUCGUUUUCAAUCAAGCUGAACAAUUUAAAUGUCCUUUAAGAUACUCAAAAGUAAUUAUAUUUUUCUUGCAAUCUGUUUUCUUGUAAUGCGUUUUCUUUUAAUGUGUAAUAGCCCACGUCCUGAAUCAGCUCCGAUAUGUCUGGCUUUACAGCAUUCUGUCGCCCUUGCAACCUGUUGCCAUGCUUGUUAAACUGAUAAAGCUGUGCAGCCUUUUACGCACAGCCUUUUGACUUUCCUCACAAAACUUGAAUAGAGGCUUAAAAGAUUAUGUUGUGAUUACAUCAGUUAUUAAAACAAAAAAGACAACAUAUAGCUACGAUAACGGCAGCCUUUAUUACUUCUUCACACAGUGAGCUUUAGCCAUUUCAUUAUUUUAACAGAAAGCAAUUUAUAGGCUGUAAACACAAUUUAUCAGACCUGUAGCAAGAACUACCAAAGCAUACCAAAAACAACCAAACUGGCCCUUUUUUUAAUUUAUUUUUUUGUUUGGCUAGUGACCUGAAGUUCUUUUUGGUGUCUAAUUAUAUAUUAAUAUACACUGUAUGAGUUACUAUUUUAUUUAAAAUAAAUUUAUAAAGUAAGUGAUUCAAAACUUGCAAAUGGUAGUGUAGGUUAAGUACAAGUUCUCCUUAAUUUACAUGCAGUGCUCCCUGCUAACUAAAACAACUGAGAGCUUACCGAAUGAUUUUCCCCUUGUAGAAAUGAAAAGAAAUUCAGAUCUGUGGAACAAAAAUAAAUGAACAGUAAGAGAUCGUAAAAAUACAAAAAAAGAUCACAUUGCACAAGUUUAUGCAUUUCUUUCUUGCCUUGGAGUGAAAAAAUGUAAAGGAAAUCAGCAAGCAGCCGUAAGUCUUACAGAAAACAUAACACACGCUCUGCUUAGCAGGCAGUUUAGGCACAUACCUGACAGGUCACUGGGUGUGUGGUAAUAGUGGCGGUAGUCCUGAAUGAGAGGAGGGGGAGGGGGGAUGUAGUUCGUUUCCACUGCUGGCAUGCUGGGAGCUCGCGACACUGGUGAUGCCUGAUGAUGAAGAUUCAACACCCUGCGUGGGGGAAAAAAAAACACAAAAUCUUAAUGAAAAAUAAACAACCGGACUCGGCUGCACCAGUUUCGUGCAAGUUUGAAUUUUUUAACUGUUUGUGUGUAAAGUCCUUAGUUAACACUAGUUAGAUUUAAAUUGUCCUUUUACUACAUUUGGUUGCAUCACAAAUCCUUAAGUCUUAGCUAGUAACAAUUAACUAACUAAAACCAGGGUGAUGAUUAGAGCUUUAAAGUAAAACUAAAGCACAAAGCAUUUAGUGUUUCUAUCUUGGUUAUCUUAACCAAAAGGGUGAAGUUAAGUAUUCUUUGUGCCAUCUAUGUGGUUUUCCUUAUUUAUAUACUUUUUUAUUUAGUGGUAGGUGUAAAUAUUUAGUAACUACUUAGCUCAGUGUAAACACUACUUUGUGUGGUGCAACCCAUAUUGGUUUAGUAAUGCAUAAACCUAAACUAAGGAAACACAUUACAGCUAGCCAACAUUUGAACUUAAACACAGCUGGUGCAACCGGCCCCUGCACUAAACUGAAACUUAAAAGAAAACUUCGUAAAUACAACACUUAGUCUACCGAUACUCUCCUGUGGAAAAAGAGGAAAAAUUAAAACUAAAAUUUUGCAGUUCACGUCCAGGUGAACUGUAAAAAUUGAAUUUUUUUCAGGCUUCUUGAAGACUUCGUCAUUGCCAGUGAAUGUGCACUGUAAUGGGAGACUGACCCUUUGCUGACAGGGGGUGAUGUAGGCGAUAGAGACGGACAGGCUCGUUUGGGAGGAGGCUCUUCAUCGUUAUCAUCAUCUGAGGAGCUGUCCAGUGUCAGGCCGUUGGAGGAGGCAGACACCUCCUGCACCACCUUCUUGGAUCUCAUAGGAGCCCAGCUGCCAUCCUCCUUAAACUGGAUCUCAUCACAGUCUACACAGCUGUUCAGUAUCUCCAUGAACAACCUGCACCCAAAAAACACAGGAUCUCCACAUCAUUCUUCUUCUCUUACUAACUCACAUUGUUUGUAGACGUAAAGACAAUUUGAAGACAAGACAUUAACUCAGGCAACAAAUGAAGUAAACACCAACUGUGUAUUUCUGUAAUAUUACACAAGAGCCAAAUAUUAAA